CUGGAGUUGUGAUGGCCUUUCAGAGUUGUCUCAAACUGAUGCAAGGGGCUGGGCCUAUAUAUCCUCACACCAGCUGUUCAUUCCUCCUGUUUGGUGGGCAUAUAACCUUGAGUGAGAUACGCUGUGAGAAGUUGGAAUUCAUUUCCCUGCCAGCUUGGAGAGGGAAAAAGGAAUCCAUUCAUCUUCAGAAAAAAAAGGACAGUUUUUACAAGCACAGCCUAGGUCUCAGUUCCAGCCACUGCCCAGUUGUGUGACCUUAGCCAAUUUGCACGAUCUCCCCUCUUGGACUUCCCACCCUCGGCCCCUCGCCACACCCGCCCGGUGCUGCCCCACCCGGUGUAACAGCUAGAGGCCUGGGAACGAUGUCGGCUAGAAUCCCUCCCAGGAGGUACCAUUUAGGUUCCACUAAUCAGAAGCACCCGCUUGAGGCUUGAAAAAGCCGCGGACGCCAUCUCCUUGUUCUCCGGGCGGCAGGAGGCGGGUGCGUGCGCUUCAGCAGGGACCCUGCAGCAGCCUCUGGGCGUUUUCCUGUGGAUCUUCUGCCUCAGUUUGCACAGCACAGUCCAGCCCAGCGGUUUGCAACGUGUCUGUGUCACCUGGGAGCCUGAAACAGUGCAAAUUCUUGGACCUACUCCAGGCCGACCCAUUCAGAAGCUCUGGAGGUCUGUUCCAAGGAUUUUAGUAACUUACCGCCCGAGCCGAGUCACCGAAGUCUAUCUUCAACCUCCCCAUGGCCCUGAUGAUAGCAA